rnacentral:lncRNA from 1 species
UUUUUUCAUGCAACUUUAAAGGGAUAACCACUUGAUAACUUUUUUUCCUUUGGCAUGUUUUAGAUACUGGAUUUUGGUAAUUUACUUGCAGACACAGGAAUUUGAAUAGAUGGUGUUUCUCUUCUUUUUAUUUCUGAAAUAACGGCGUCUUUAUAAUGAUGGUGAUUUCAGUGAUAUUUUGUUCCUCAGAUAUUUUGUUGAAACUGAAUUCAGGUCAUUUAUGGAUCAGACUAUUCCUUUUGAAAAUUUUGGUAUACUCGAGGGAAAAAGUUAUGGAUUGUGUUUUGCAAGUAUCUGAAGAGGCACAUAGAACUUGCCGAUGCAUUUUGAAAUUUGGAUAGUGUAAGGAAUUAAAAUUAUGACGAUUUGUUUUGUGGCAAAAUGAUCGGAGUUUGUAUGUUCACAGUGAAAACUCUUCAAGGUGAGAAUAUCAGUAAGGUGUUCAGAACCUCAUUUAUUGUGCAAAAUAUAGACAGAUGUAUCCACAAAAGUAAGAACACCACCAGUAUUCUUUGUGAUAAGGUUCAAGUCUUUGGUUUGCCGAGCAAAACCUUGAUAUCCUGUGCGCUUUCUUAUAACUGACUGCAGGUUAUUUUUACUUUAGUUUUAGACUGUUAUUGUUGCUUUCUAUUGUUCUUUUAAGCUUACAGAAAUUUAUUUCUUUUUCUCUUGACAAAUGAUUGUAACUUAUGUAUAUGUUUAACCUAAGGAUGUGAUGGAAGUAAUUGUUUCAGAGAAAGCAAUACUGGCAAAGUGAUUGAAAAUUCAU